rnacentral:lncRNA from 1 species
UAGGAUCCGGUGGGAAUAUUGUGAUGACCCAGACUCCACUCUCUCUGCCCGUCACCAAUGGAGAGCCGGCCUCCAUCUCCUGCAGGUCUAGUCAGAACCUUUUACAUGGUAAUGGAUACACCUAUUUGUAUUAGUUCCUGCAGAAGCCAGGCCACUCUCCACAGCUCCUGAUCUGUAGGACUUCCAAUCAGUUUUCUGCCUUCCCACACAGUGGUUGCAGGUCAGGGACAGAUUUUAUGCUUAAGAUCAGUAGGGUGGAGGCUGAGGAUCUUGGCUAUUACAACUGCCACCACACUCUACAAUAUCCUCCCACAAUGGUUCAG